rnacentral:rRNA from 1 species
GUCCAUAGCGAAGUAUUAGUUAAGUAGAACGUGGUACUGGUAAUAAGAGGACACUUCUAUAGUUAUCCUAAUCUAACGUUCGUCGUGGUCAAGUUCUCGCACCCUCCCUCCCUAAGGUAGUUCAAAAAUUAGCAGCUCUCUGCUCAAGGGCCGCCACUCAGACUUAAGUCUCCUAACUAUUCAGUAAUUGACUGUGCAGAACAACUGGAGGAGGCGGUACGUGGUGGACGAAGAGUUUUCAGAUGGUUUGCAGGUUUGCCUGAAACAUACCUGAACUUUAGAUCGCCGUCUCACACUAGUUCCGAACAAUUACAAACACCCCGAGCCUGUCUGCGCCGCCUGACAGUCAGUCUAACAACAGUUCACAAUACCGCGCAGGUACCAGGUACUCUACGGUACACAAACUUGUCGGAAUACUGACAGUAAACGCUUCGUCGUACACAAGCUCCGGUAGUACAACGGACUGCUCGUCACAAUAACGACCGACAACCCUAACCUUACUCAGUUGUUCCGCUCGUUCAGGCGCACAGAACAAUUCGACAGCAAUCCACGUACCCAGCAACCAUUCCCC